UCGGAAGCUAGCAGAGUCGGGCCUGGAUAGUAAUUGGAUGGGACACCGGCUGGGAAUACCAGGUGCUGUAAGUUU
rnacentral:rRNA from 1 species